rnacentral:ribozyme from 1 species
GGUAUAGUGUUGAGGUGAUCAUCUACAUGGACCUCGAGGCAAUGCUCCGCGAUGG